rnacentral:rRNA from 1 species
UGCGAAGGGGGCUAGCGUUGCUCGGAAUCACUGGGCGUAAAGCGCACGUAGGCGGAUCGCUAAGUCAGGGGUGAAAUCCUGGAGCUCAACUCCAGAACUGCCUUUGAUACUGGCAAUCUCGAGUCCGGGAGAGGUGAGUGGAACUGCGAGUGUAGAGGUGAAAUUCGUAGAUAUUCGCAAGAACACCAGUGGCGAAGGCGGCUCACUGGCCCGGUACUGACGCUGAGGUGCGAAAGCGUGGGGAGCAAACAGG